GGGCCCGCACAAGCGGUGGAGCAUGUGGUUUAAUUCGAUGAUACGCGAGGAACCUUACCAGGGCUUAAAUGUAAGUUGCAUUAGUUAGAGAUAGCUAUUUCUUCGGACUACUUACAAGGUGCUGCAUGGUUGUCGUCAGCUCGUGCCGUGAGGUGUCAGGUUAAGUCCUAUAACGAGCGCAACCCCUGUUGUUAGUUGCCAUCGAGUCAUGUCGGGAACUCUAACAAGACUGCCGGUGCAAACCGUGAGGAAGGUGGGGAUGACGUCAAAUCAUCACGGCCCUUACGGGUUGGGCUACACACGUGCUACAAUGGCAGUGACAAUGGGUUAAUCCCAAAAAGCUGUCUCAGUU
rnacentral:rRNA from 1 species